rnacentral:SRP_RNA from 1 species
CCCCGGACCCCGUGCGGUGUGCACCCCAUGAACCUCCCCAGGGCCGGAAGGCAGCAAGGAUAAGUGGGCUCUGGCAGGUGCGCGGGGUCCCCCUUUU